CGAACGGGUGAGUAACGCGUGAGCAACCUGCCUAUGACAGUGGGAUAGCCUCGGGAAACCGGGAUUAAUACCGCAUAAAAUCGUAGAAACACAUGUUUUAACGGUCAAAGAUUUAUCGGUCAUAGACGGGCUCGCGUCUGAUUAGCUAGUUGGUGAGAUAACAGCCCACCAAGGCGACGAUCAGUAGCCGGUCUGAGAGGAUGAACGGCCACAUUGGAACUGAGACACGGUCCAA
rnacentral:rRNA from 1 species